GUAUAUUCAUAUAAGAGUCAAUCGUGUGAUGACGUCUUGGCCAACAAUAUACUUUUGAGAUACCGCCAACACAGCAAAAUCAUAUUGCCCCCAACUAUAUCAAGAUGUACAACUUAAUAACACCAAGGCACCUGAUGAGAACGAAGAAACAGUGUAUGUGUUAAAUAAAGAACUUAUUGCAGAGGUCUUAACACAAGUUGCUACUCGUGUCGAUAAGAAGAAAAAGUUACAGGAGGCUCGGGAAGUUGCAAACCACAACUCUUUAUGUAUUUAAAUUCUCUAGUCAAUUUGGUUGUUACGUAAG